GAUGAAGAACGCAGCGAAAUGCGAUAAGUAAUGUGAAUUGCAGAAUUCAGUGAAUCAUCGAAUCUUUGAACGCACCUUGCGCCCUUUGGCUAUUCCGAAGGGCAUGCCUGUUUGAGUAUCAUGAACACCUCAACUCUCAUGGUUUGCCAUGAUGAGCUUGGACUUUGGGGGUCUCGCCGGCCUAUGGGUCGGCUCCUCUCAAAUUAAUCAGCUUGCCAGUGUUUGGUGGCAUCACAGGUGUGAUAACUAUCUACGCUUGUGGUUUUCCAUCAGGUAACCUUCAGUGAUGGAGGUUCGCUGGGGCUCAUAAAUGUCUCUCCUCAGUGAGGACAGCUUUUUUGAACGUUUGAUCUCAAAUCAGGUAGGACUACCCGCUGAACUUAAGCAUAUCAAUAAGCGGAGGA
rnacentral:misc_RNA from 1 species